UGAAUGAUUUUCCAUGCAGGAUUGCGUGAUCCUUACACUCGCCUGCGGCUCGAAUAUUUUUACGCUUUCCGAAAGUCGAGCGACAUCACAAGUGCAUGGAUCAUGCAAUCCUGCAUGGAAAACCAUUU